GAUGAACGCUGGCGGCGUGCCUAAUACAUGCAAGUCGAGCGAACAGACGAGGAGCUUGCUCCUCUGACGUUAGCGGCGGACGGGUGAGUAACACGUGGAUAACCUACCUAUAAGACUGGGAUAACUUCGGGAAACCGGAGCUAAUACCGGAUAACAUGUUGAACCGCAUGGUUCAACAGUGAAAGACGGUCUUGCUGUCACUUAUAGAUGGAUCCGCGCCGCAUUAGCUAGUUGGUAAGGUAACGGCUUACCAAGGCAACGAUGCGUAGCCGACCUGAGAGGAUGAUCGGCCACACUGGAACUGAGACACGGUCCAGACUCCUACGGGAGGCAGCAGUAGGGAAUCUUGCGCAAUGGGCGAAAGCCUGACGGAGCAACGCCGCGUGAGUGAAGAAGGUCUUCGGAUCGUAAAACUCUGUUAGUAGGGAAGAACAAAAGUAUGAGUAAACAUGCCCGUCUUGACGGUACCUAAUCAGAAAGCCACGGCUAACUACGUG
rnacentral:rRNA from 1 species